UCCCCCCUGGCCCCCACCCCUGAGCAGUGGGUGGGGGCCCUAAAUUAGAAUGAGGUGGGGGGCCCCCACCCACCGCUCAGGGGUGGGGGGCAGGGGGCA